rnacentral:rRNA from 1 species
GACGAACGCUGGCGGCGUGCCUAAUACAUGCAAGUAGAACGCACAGUUUAUACCGUAGCUUGCUACACCAUAGACUGUGAGUUGCGAACGGGUGAGUAACGCGUAGGUAACCUGCCUGGUAGCGGGGGAUAACUAUUGGAAACGAUAGCUAAUACCGCAUAAUAUUAAUUAUUGCAUGAUAAUUAAUUGAAAGGUGCAAUUGCACCACUACCAGAUGGACCUGCGUUGUAUUAGCUAGUAGGUGAGGUAACGGCUCACCUAGGCGACGAUACAUAGCCGACCUGCGAGGGUGAUCGGCCACACUGGGACUGAGACACGGCCCAGACUCCUACGGGAGGCAGCAGUAGGGAAACUUCGGAAAUAGACGAAAGUCUGACCGAGCAACGCCGCGUGAGUGAAGAAGGGUGUCGGAUCGUAAAGCUCUGUUGUAAGAGAAGAACGGGUGUGAGAGUGGAAAGUUCACACUGUGACGGUAUCUGAACAGAAAGGGACGGCUAACUACGUG